rnacentral:rRNA from 1 species
GGUGCCAGCAGCCGCGGUAAUUCCAGCUCCAAUAGCGUAUAUUAAAGUUGUUGCAGUUAAAAAGCUCGUAGUUGAAUUUCGGGGUUAGUAGGUUGGUCAUGCCUCUGGUAUGUACUGGUCUCACUGAUUCCUCCUUCCUGAUGAGCCGUAAUGCCAUUAAUUUGGUGUUGCGGGGAAUUUGGACUGUUACUUUGAAAAAUUAGAGUGUUUAAAGCAAGCUAACGCUUGAAUACAUUAGCAUGGAAUAAUGAAAUAGGACGUUCGAUCCUAUUUUGUUAGGUUUCUAGGAUUGACGUAAUGAUUAAUAGGGAUAGUUGGGGGCAUAAGUAUUCAAUUGUCAGAGGUGAAAUUCUUGGAUUUAUUGAAGACUAACUACUGCGAAAGCAUUUGCCAAGGAUGUUUUCAUUAAUCAAGAACGAAAGUUAGGGGGAUCGAAGACGAUCAGAUACCGUCGUAGUCUUAACCAUAAACUAUGCCGACUAGGGAUCGGAUGAUGUUAAUUUUUUAAUGACUCAUUCGGCGCCUUACG